rnacentral:rRNA from 1 species
UACGUAGGGUGCAAGCGUUAAUCGGAAUUACUGGGCGUAAAGCGUGCGCAGGCGGUUUUGUAAGUCUGACGUGAAAUCCCCGGGCUCAACCUGGGAAUUGCGUUGGAGACUGCAAGGCUGGAGUCUGGCAGAGGGGGGUAGAAUUCCACGUGUAGCAGUGAAAUGCGUAGAGAUGUGGAGGAAUACCGAUGGCGAAGGCAGCCCCCUGGGAUAACACUGACGCUCAU